rnacentral:rRNA from 1 species
GACGAACGCUGGCGGCGUGCUUAACACAUGCAAGUCGAACGGAAAGGCCCCUUUGGGGUUUCUCGAGUGGCGAACGGGGGAGUAACACGUGAGUAACCUGCCCUUCACUUCGGGAUAACUUUACGAAACUGGGGCUAAUACCGGAAAGGAAUCCUUUCCGCAUUGAGGGUGUUGGUUAGCUUCGGGGGUUUUGGAUGGAGUCGCGGCUUGUCGGCUUGUUGGUGGGGUAUUGGCUUACUAAGGCGUUGACGGGUAGCCGGCCGGAGGGGGGGACCGGCGACAUUGGGACUGGGAAACGGGCCAGACUCCUGCGGGCGGCAGGAGGGGGGAAUAGUGAACAAUGGGCGGAAGCCUGAAGCAGCAACGCCGGGGGCGGGAUGAUGGCCAACGGGUUGGAAACCGAUUUCAGCAGGGGCGAGGCUUGUGGUGACGGUACCUGCAGAAGAAGCACCGGCUAACUACGUG